GCCGUCGAACUCAAAUACUAACUCGAAGAGAAGCUGAAGGCCUUGAAGGAAAAGAAUUCAAAUUUGUUGGACCUUCAACAAAAAAAUAAACAAGCAGGAGAAGAAGAUCUUCGACCUACAUACUGUUGCUAAGAAAAAUAAAAAACUGAAACCGAGACUUAAAAAUGCUGAAAAAACCAAUAAAGCUCAUGAAAAAGCCAUUGAGGCCUUGAAGAGACAAAUAAAGAAGGAGCAGGAUAAGACGGCAAAGGUAGUAGAACUAUACAAGACUUUCGAGAAGUUUGAGGAUGA
rnacentral:lncRNA from 1 species